GCCAGCGCAGCGUCAGCGUAUCCCCAAGCAACCAACAUGGCCGCUUCCGCCAAUGGAAAGUACGUUGAAUCCGCUUGUGGCGGUCGAAUUUUAACGAACUGGGCGAUGUUGUUUCACCGAAACAAGACAGACUUACCGCACUUGGAGCGUUUACUGGUGAAGGAGGUGAGUUAUCUUUCCUCUUUAAACCGUUAUCUGUUUAAUUUCCGUCGCUGUUCGCCUCGUCACAGACUAAAUUAAUCUGGUUGGUUGGAAGUCUCGACCGUUGGUGUUAGAAGCACUUUCGAGCGAUUAAGAAGGAGUUUGUUAAAUGUGACGUUAGAAACUGACGUUCGAACGUUUUAACUCCAACAUACAAAUUUUAACUUGUUCAGAAUGUUUUAACUUGUAUAAAAUAUUUACACACGGAGUUUAGACUUAUGAAUGUAAUAGUUCGGAUUUAUAUACUGAUUCAGUAAGUUCUUUUCUGAAUCUGAAGUCACAGGAAAAAGUUUUUUUUUCCCUUUUUUUUUUUACUUGAGUCAAUUGUCCUGUACAACCACAACUCAGUUAUUACAAUACUCUGGAUCUGCCGCUACAGCCUCACAAAUGAGCUUUAGCAUGUCCAACCUGCCUACUCCCAGUACCGAGAGUAGGGGAGAGUGGGGUAAGAUGAACCAUUUUUCACAUUUCAGAUCACUACAUCAAGUCAAUCCUAGUUUUGUCUCUAACUCGUGUAUCUGCGUAUAUUUCAAUAUGUUGUUCAUUCCUGCAAACCAACAGAAUGAGUGUAAACAGAACUGUCUUGAUAAUAUAGCAUGCCAAAAAAAGUGGUCUCCUAUGGUCAACUUACCCCGUGUAUGGGGUAAGUUGACCAUAGGAGAGCGGGGUAAGUUGAGCCGAAUCCCUACUACUUUCUCAGUUACCCCAGAACUACUAUGAUGACUUUAUUAGUCCUCUAAGCUAAAAUGGUGGACUUUUAUGUUAGCUCAUAGACACCACAAUUGAUGUAUAAAACAAAUUUAAAAUGAUCUUUUUUGGUCUGAACACAAUUCUAAUGAAACUUCUGACAGACUAAAUUCACUUUCAAGAGUGAAAAAUGUUUUUUUUUGGAAAUAAAUGUCUAACCCCUUCACCUAUGUGCUUCUAACUUUCACAAACUUUAUGAAUUGAUACCCAUCUCCUAAAUAUUUGGUCCUCCUUGAGGUUUUGUUGCUAAUACCGCAAAAGAAAAAAAGAGUAAACAGAUAAUUAGAUAGUGCCUGCAACUCUAGGCUGCAUAAUAUUGGUGUGGGCCUAUGCUUGGACAGCUGAUAUCCAUUUUAGUGGUUGACUUAUAUCAGUUUUUUUAAUGGCUGAUAAAUAAAGUCCAUGUAAAAUAAAAGAUAAAUCAAAAAUAAAAACACCCACCCUCUCUAUUCCUCGAACUAGGAGCAGUAGUGAUCCUGCAGCUGCCCUGACUUGUACACCUUUGGGACUCGACAGGCAAACCUGAAACACUCUGCAGCCCCAUUACUGCUGCACCUGUCACUACAGCAGCGUGAACAUGGCACGGUAAGUGUUGAGAAGGGGGCACAGAGUAUUAUUCCUCACCUUUUAUAUGUGUGAGUGCAUUAUGUGUAAGGCUAUGGAACAAUAAAGCUUUAAUGAAGCUUUAAUGGGAGAGCGCUGCUGCUUACAGCCUGCCAGGUUAGAGCCAUUAGCAGGAGCUGAGUUUACGUCAGAGUUGAUGUUUCCAUCCUUUUAUUCUGCUGCUCAUUGGCUGCUUACUGUGCCCGGAGGUCACCUGUCAGCACAGGUGGAGGGGAGAAAGUACAUUUACUAGAAUAUUGAACAAUACAGAGAACUUUGAAUUAUAUAUGAUCAAUUUCACUUUGUUUUUCUGUGCUUCAAAAAGGCUUGUAUUGUUAAAAUGAGCUGUUUUUAGGGGAAAACACAAGUAUGUUGACAUAGGAGAAAACAUGUAAGAGCUCCUCUCAAAAGGUCAGGUUGUUGGUGUGACAGAUUUAGAUGGCUUAGUGUGCCUGGACACUAACACUAACGAGCGGUUUGCACUUGUAUGCCACUUUGCUUCAUUCAGCCACCUUCUCUGGUGGAUCUUUACUCUAUCAGUUAAAGUCCAGGUGUGUUAGAGUUGCAUAGACAGGUAACUGAAGCUCAUAAAGUCAACAUAGUUAAACUAGAUGUCUGUCAGCUGCAGCGUUGUUGCUGAUUUCCAAACAGAAUGUAAAAUUUUAAAGGGAUAUUCUGUUGUGAAAUUAAGUUAGGGUCAAACACACUGUAACACUGAGUUAAACACCCCCUCCAAAGAUGAAUGUUGCCGACCUAGUGCUGGACGAUAAUUCGAUAACAAUAUAUAUCGAUCGAUAGACGUGUGGUGCGAUAGAAAAAAAACGGGUCGAUAAAAAGUUCGAUAGAAAAACACAGUUUCCCUUUCUUUUUCAUCAUAGCCUAUCAUGUAGCUUUUACUACAGUCAUUACUUCCUCCCAACCAAUCACAAACGCAGACCCAGGUACGCUACGGCACCAAGCCCAGCCCCUCUCAAACCACAACAGACAGCACGUGUAUCAGAAAAAAUGAUACAGCAAGGAGAAGCGGAGGAAAUUGUCCCGAAAAAAGGUUUCAGUAGUUCACCAGCAUGGCAAUGUUUUGGUUUUUAGAAGUCUGACAAAAAGCGAACAGCGGUCGUUUGCAAAAUUUGCAGAGAAUUAGUAAAAACGAAGUCUGGUAACACAACCAACUUGUUUUACCAUCUAAACCGAUCGCACCCGCAGGAGUACGAGCUGUGUCGGCCCAGAGCAGUAGAUUCUGUGUCGGCCGCGCCGCGGCUCCACGUCAUCGUCGGAGGAAUCCUCUGGAACCGCUGCCAGCACCAGCACAAAGCAAGUGAAGCAGACCAAACUGGACUUCGUUUCUUGCCAAAAUACGGCAAAGCGUCCGAGCGGCAUAAGGACAUCACCCAUGCAGUAACAUGCUCCAUAGCGAGGGACAUACUGCCAAUAACUACCGUUGAAAAGCCUGGCUUCGACCAGCUUCUAGCCACUCUCGACCCGCGAUAUGAAGUGUCCGGCCGUAAGUAUUUCUCAAACACAGCGCUUCAGGCAUGAAAAUGGGUCAGGGGUUGAAAAGGUGAGAAGGGUGCGGAGGAAAUACGUUCCGGUGUAGCUUCUUAAAGUGGAAGAAAAUGAGCUCAUAUUUUACAAAGACGCGAGUAUUUGGAUCAUGGCUACUAGCAGGGGGUGCAUUCGGCAGGGGUGCAUUCUACGACACAACACCGGCGUGGAUAAGUCCUGCUUCUCGUGCUCAGUUUGUGUAUUAAGUCAAUCACAUGAUAAUUAAAAAAAAUAAAUCUCCCGACCCCGGGAGAAAUAUUUCAGUGUUCAGACACCAGGCUGUGGGCAGUUUCCCACACAGUUAUAACUGGUAGUAUGCUAUUCCCACCUAAAGCUAUUCUGUUUAUUUAUAUAUUUGUAUAUCAUCAAAAGACUAUUUAAAUAUUUAUUUAUCAGAUUUUCUGGUCACUUUAGUCUUUAUGUUUGUCAGUAUUUACUGACGUCACUCAGGCCACUUAAGUUGAUUUCUUUUUUUUUUUAAGUUCUUUUUUAAAAAACUUUCAGUUGUGGUAAAAUAAAAAAGGUGGUUGAAUAAAGGUUUGAAUUUGAAUUCAGUGCUUGUGUGUUCUUUAUUAAAAGUAGGUCAUUAAGCAAUAGCAUAAAACAUCCAGGGCUGCAAUUAAAAUAUAUGUUAAAUAAUUAUAACAAUUAUAUCGAUAAUUAUCGAUAUCGAUCAAUAUGAUUUAUUUGUUAUCGAUAUGUUUUUUUUCUAUAUCGUCCAGGCCUAUGCCGACCGCUUGCUUCUCUAGUCAUACCAACUUUAGUAACGACCACAGGAUAGCAAUACACAGCGAUCUGAGGAGCCAUAAACAAACCUCAACCAAAACGCCACUCUAUAGCCACAAAUAAUGCUCAGAACAGCACCUAACUUCAUCAACAACCUUAUUUCUUUAGCAAAGAGACUAAACAAAACUCACCUACUCUCUUCCAGCAGCCGUUUGUUUGUAGUGAGACCUCAGGCCGGUACAUUACGGACUACAGCGGGGUGACGCAGCUCAAGGAAGAACAUUUAUGAUCAUUUCUUCAUGGAAAUGCAAUCAGACCGAGACGCUAAGGCAGAAGAACUACAGCGUCUGCAGUGCAAAAUAAUUCAUAUGGUGAUUAUUACUUCAAGGAAAUGAUAAAGUAAUGAUCAUAAAUGUUCUUCCUUGAGCUGCAUCACCCCACUGUAGUCUGUAAUGGACUGCCGUGCGGUCUCUCUCACUGUCUCUUUGCUAAAGAAAUCAGGCAAAGCUAAAAAGAUGUUUGAUGGCUGGGACCCUACAUUUACUCUUCAUGAAGUUAGGUGCUGUUCUGAGCAUUAUUUGUGGCUAUAGAGUGGCGUUUUGGUUGAGGUUAGUGUGUGGUUCUAUAGACCACUCUGUAUUGCUAUCCUGCGGUCGUUACUAUAACGACUAUAAGUUGGUAUAACGAGAGAAGCAAGCGGUUGGCAACAUUCAUCUCUGGAGGGGGUGUCUAACUCGGUGUUACGGCGUGUUUGACCCUAAAUUAAUUUUACACCAGAAUAUCCCUUUAAACAGUGCAGUUUAUAAUUAUCCGCCCAAACCCCCUCCGUGCUCCAGCCUCCUCUCUUGUCCUUCACUGCUUCCCGGGGUUCACUGUGUUGUUAAAGGGCACCUCAGUGGUGUACUGCCCUCCUCCACCUGCCUCACACACGCACACAGACAACACACACACACACAUUACCCUUCCCUUUCCUCACCUCUGGGCGACCAUCGCCCCACUUAUUAACACCCUCUCUGCUUUCAUGUGCGUGUGUCGGAGCCGUGCUUGUUUACUCCUCUCGGUUUUACCUCGUGUAAACCGCUGAACAACAUAUGGGGAUGCUGCCGCCAUAUGUUGGUGUUUUGCUGUUUGCAGAUCCUCGCUCUCCUUCUCUGUUUCUUGGAUGAGUGGCUGCGUGAGCACGCCAUCGUAACACGACUUAACCCAGGUCACCGCCUGCAGAUGUUUGUGUGUUGUCUUUUCUUUUUCUCGGGGAUUAAAAGAUUGUUGGCACAAGUUAAGACACUUUUAUUGACGUGUGUGUGUGUGUGUGAGUUUGUGAGCCGGGUCGGAGGAGAGAGAGAGUUCCAGGAGUUCAGGGGUUCGUGUGAAUCAUUAUGUAUGGGAAAUGCACGGCUGUUUGCCUGAGUAUAUGAGCUUGCGUCAGAGAGCUUUAUCACGCAUAUCUUAAUUAUUUGAUCCAGAUGACGUUAUUAAAGCUUUGAAGGAUGAAGGAGUCAGACUUUUUAGACCAUGCAGUAAAAGUUUGACUUCUCUCUUGACUUUUACUCAUAUUUGGACAUUUUUCUUCAACAAAACUGUUUUAACCCUUAGAACUCCCAGCUAUAUUUUUAUAUCUUUGGUCCGCCUGUUUUUUGUUUUUUUUGUGAAAAUCUUUGUAGCGACUCUAACCUUUUGAGCACAGCAAAAUACACAUCUUUAUUUUCAGGACAACCUCAGCUGUCCGUUUAUUGGUGCAAAAAAUAUGUAAAAUAAAUGUGACAGUAGAUUCAGAACCAUCAAACUCAACCAAAAAACAAAAAACGGAAAUUGAUACCAACAGUACUUUGCUCAAAAAACACAUAAAUCUACAGUGACCAAGCCUUUUCUCACCUGCACAUCAUUCUCUCAAGUCUUGGCUCUCAGGAGAAGAAAUAUUGGGAUUGGAACAAACACACAACAGAAACUAUUUACAUAUUUACACUAAUUAUUCCAGGCGUUUUUUUGCUAUUUACAGUUGUUUCUGCCACUCCUUGAAGCAGUUCCUGUCUGGGAUGAGACAGAGGACCACAUUAUACUGCUCAUAAGGCGUCAAAAUUCGCCUCAGAAUAUUUCGUAAUUUCGCGUCGGAUAUUUGCGUCAGUCCUGGUGUGUAAGGACCUUCAGUGUUAAAAGUCUUUUUCUUCACACUUCAACUUUUUCCUUAAUAUUCAUCAUGAAAAAAAGUCCUCUUUAUUUUUCCUCGUCUCUUUACUCUUCAAACAAGCUUCACUUCAGAUGGCGAUAGUCUUUUCAUUUCACGUUCCCAGGUUUAUAUCAUGUAACGAACAUGUUUGUGCAUAUGUGUGUUUGUGUGUGCGUCCGUGUGUGUGUGCGUGUUUGCUCAUGUGUAGGAGUGACGCACUCUCUGAUGGCCAGAGGACACUUUGACUCAUCCUUGUCUGUUGACUGUACAGGGGUCUGGCAGGUCCACCACUGAGAGCAACAACGUGAACCUUUACCCCCCCCCGUACAUCCACACAAACACACACACACCCUAACUUACACACACCCUUCCUGGCCGAGAGGAAGAGUUGUAAAAAGACCUCCUUUUCUAUCUAGGAGUUAUUUUAGAAACUACGUUCAAAUUUCAGGUUAAACGGGUGUUUUACUGCCUCAUAUCUGGAGCACAAACACUGAAAAUGUCCCAAGAAAUCACAGUUUCUCUCUUGUUUCUUGGCGUGCUAGCCUUCAAGCAGAGGCCAUCUUUGCUUUGACCUACUUUUGAGCGUCUUGACAUUUAUCCGUUCAUACAUGUUACUAUAGAGACGAGAGGUGGUGUUGUGCCGGAGCAGACAGUGAAAAUCGCCCUGAGAAAGUUUCCCAGCCCUGUUAUCGAAGCUCUGAACAGAUGCUCGAUUGGAAAUCACCUCAGAGAGAUUUUUCUGCAGGUUUUAGAGAGAAAUCAAGCGGUCAUGACGGGGUAGAAGUGGGAGAUGUGACACGGGUCUGCACGUCAGACGGUCUUGGCUGUGAUUGGACGGGGACGGGAACAGCCUGGAGGGGAACUGAAGAAGAGUCGAUGACAGGACAUCACGUCAAAGGAGCAACAAGCUGUCCCACGAUCAUCGACAGUCCGCUGAUGCCUCAAUCUGAACUCAUCUAUUGUAGAGAUUUGUGAUUGACAGUGACUGAACUCUACCUCCACCAACAUGAGGCCAAAUCUCUCAUCCAGUGUUUUUUGAUUGCUUUAAAUAACUGUGUUCUUGUUAUGUCAUUUUCUUUUUGUAUGUUUUUAGCGUCUUUAAACCCACAUUUGCUUAUUAAUAGUACGUUCUAAGUCCGUACAGCACACGCUCUGUAGAAAUCGGAAACCCUCCAGAGACUUUCCACCAGUUUCUGUGAACAGGACAAAGUCCAGAGAGGCAACUGAGGGAUCCGAUCAAAAAAAGGCCAAAAAAACAACAAGCCAGGUGUCGACUCACGUCAUGUCCUCAUCGUCAUGAGACCCGAGGGUUCGACCUUCCUCCUCUAUAAUCACAGUGGAGCUCCUCCUCAUCCUCUGCUGAUGGUCCCAGUGAAACCUCAAGGGGAUCAUUAAAGGUUCAUUUCUUCAAGAAGAGCUCCACAUCACGCUGCC